GACGAACGCUGGCGGCGUGCUUAACACAUGCAAGUCGAACGGAAAGGCCCUGCUUUUGUGGGGUGCUCGAGUGGCGAACGGGUGAGUAACACGUGAGUAACCUGCCCUUGACUUUGGGAUAACUUCAGGAAACUGGGGCUCAUACCGGAUAGGAGCUCUUGCUGCAUGGUGGGGGUUGGAAAGUUUCGGCGGUUGGGGAUGGACUCGCGGCUUAUCAGCUUGUUGGUGGGGUAGUGGAUUACCAAGGCUUUGACGGGUAGCCGGCCUGAGAGGGGGACCGGCCACAUUGGGACUGAGAUACGGCCCAGACUCCUACGGGAGGCAGCAGUGGAGAAUAUUGCACAAUGGGCGGAAGCCAGAUGCAGCAACGCCGCGUGCGGGAUGACGGCCUUCGGGUUGGAAACCGCUUUCGCCUGUGACGAAGCGUGAGUGACGGUAAUGGGUAAAGAAGCACCGGCUAACUACGUG
rnacentral:rRNA from 1 species